rnacentral:rRNA from 1 species
UACGUAGGCAGCGAGCGUUGUUCGGAGUUACUGGGCGUAAAGGGUGUGUAGGCGGUUUUCUAAGUUUGGGGUGAAAUCUCCCGGCUCAACCGGGAGGGUGCGCCGAAAACUGGGAGACUAGAGGGCGGGAUGGGAGAGUAGAAUUCCUGGUGUAGCGGUGAAAUGCGUAGAUAUCAGGAGGAAUCCCGGUGGUGUAGACGGCUCUCUGGACCGCCACUGACGCUGAGACACGAAAGCGUGGGUAGCAAACAGG